rnacentral:lncRNA from 1 species
UAGAAUUCUGACCGUUAAAUCAGCUGACUUUUAGGAAAAAUUAUACCUAACGGUUGAAAACAUAUUACCAGUACUUCAUAUGUGAAAAAUGAGUUAGGCCGUUUGUUUGUUGGUUUAAAUUUGAGCUGUUAAAAUGUCUUUUUUUUUAAAUUGAUUUAAUUUAAGAGUUUAAAAUUUUAUUUGUCACUUAACAUCAUUUCAAUUAAUAUUAAGUCACGUUCAUUUUUAUUGGUCAAUUAUGAUGUUUAACUUUUCGAUGCAGAAGUCCAACAACGACAAGUCCCAUGGAAGAUGAACUCCCUCAUCUUCUUGAGUUCUCCGGCGGCGAUUGGAUCGAAAGAAGAGAGAUGGCGGUGGGCGGAAGAUUUUGCAGGAUGUAAACCCAAUCCACAGAUCCACUGAUCUAAUCGCUGGCGAGUCCCCUGGUCCUGCUACGAUUUUUCUUCUCAUUGGAUUGGUGUUCCCUCCAUCCUCUAUUUCAAGUUUCCCAUGAGGUUGGAUAUUGGUUGUCGUACCUUCCUCUCUCUCUCUUUUCUCUGCUGAUCCCCUCUUGCUCGCUUCUCAUCCGACCACCACAAAGACAAACAGCAGAUCGGAAGAGCAGAUCGGAAGAGAGAUCCGAAGAUGGUCUUGAGCGAGAAUGAAGGAGUAUCCGCCGGCCAACAGAUGAUGGUGAUAAAAUGAAUGCACCCCUCUUGCUCCGACCAUCACAGAAACAGCAGAUAGGAAGAGAGAUCUGAAGAUGGUCUUGAGAGAGUAGUAUCCGCCUGCCGAGUGACGACGAUACGGAUUUUCUCCAGGGCUCCGUUGAUCCAGUGGCGACGAGGGCCUCUGUGAUUCUCAGCCUUCAACUCUCUGGAUUUUCCUUCUUUCUGGUGAUUUCUGAUACGGAAGAACGGAGGACGGAACGGAACCUAACUGCCUAUGGAUUUAGCUAAGAGCAAGGGGGAAGGAGAUCCCCCAAGGCCGAAAACCAACUCCAAGCUCCAUGGUACCACCAUUGUAAAACUCAGCUCUAGCUUAUCGGUCUAUGAGUAUUUUGUUUGCGUGAUUUUGUGGCGCGGUUAUUUGUUAAUUUUUUUUACUAAUGAUGCUAAUUCUCAUGCUUAGAUUUUGGAUUUCCUGACAUUUUGUGCACAAUAGUUAUUUGGGGAGAUUGAGUUUCCUUAGCUGCAUCGUCUAAUUUUAUAGGGCAUCUUUUGUAACUCUUAUGAUGCAGGUUUGUGAGUCUUAGUCGUUGAGUCAUGUUUGGGGUAUUUCUGGGUAAGCUUUGGGUAUGGGUGUUGAUCAUUUGGUUUGGUGUGUUUAGGGUCAGAAGGAGGUUGUCUAGGUGUUGAUUGUGGUAGCUAUUCGAUUUAACCUUAGCUGAGUUUGGUUUAAUUUUGGCUGGAUUUGGUGUGAUAAAUGUUCUUAUGAUUUUCAUUAUCAAGCCUCCAAAAUUAAUUAUAGUAAAGUAUGAUAAGAUGAUUAAAUAAAUAUAUUAUCUUUAUUUUUAUAAAGAUUAUAUAAAACCUUAUCUUCUUGUAAUAAUUUAUCAAGAAAAAACAAAUAAAAAAAACAAAGGAAGGCCCAAGCCAUCCUAAUAAACAAGAAUAAGAAAUAGUUCUCUGCAACUACACAUAUCUCUUUCGGCCAAUACUAUCUUACUUUACAACUCAAUCACCCAAUUCAUUCCUUUCUAUACAUUCAUAACCCAACUUUUGGUCCUUACAAACUAGUCACUAAAUUAUUCCAACAAGCCUAUGUUUUAAUUCCGUAUAGCAAAAGCAAAGCAUUGCUAUUGAUUCUAGUUCAAUGCAUAUAAUUACUUAAUUUUGUGCAUCAUUAAGAAUUCACGGUAUGAAUGACAAUAAACAGUAACCAUGAAACUAUAUAUUAUUAGUUUCUCCGGGUAUAGUGUUAUGAAAACAGUGAUUACGACUAAGGAACCACAGUUAAAAGUAAUAAAGAACAAGCUUAUAAAAUGUGCUAUUUAGUCACUUUCCCUAGAGUAACCGAACGGCCCUUUCUUGUAGUGAGGAAACCGCCUGGGGAUCGGCAUCCCGAAUCAGAACGAUACUCGUGUGUUGGCUUCUUAUUGUAUCGAGAAUAAAUUGCCGUACCGGCCAAUAUAAGUAUUGCAAAACCACCAAUUAUUCCGGCCGCCAAUCCAAUAAUCACGCUCUUGUUGCUUUUCUUGCCUUCCAAUUUGUCUAGGCUGGGACCACCUUCCGAGUCUAACUCGGAGUAAAACGUCCACAUCUUGAGCGUCUGAGUCUGGUAUUUUUGCCCCGUUGAUCCGGAGAAGCCGAAUAAAGCCCACUCGGUCAGAUAAUCCUUCAAAUCCAAUUCGUAGCAUAGUGUAUUCCCGUGAACAUCAAUCGUCACUGUUUGUUCUUUGCCAGGUGCCGUCUUCUCAUUGAGCCCUAUGAACUCUACACACAGGUUCUUGGCUUUGUAAGACACGGUGGCUGACAUGAUGGUCCUAUUCGCGUAGCUCUGCCACAUCUUGUUGGCGACAGACUUGAUGGAAUUGAUAUUAAUGCCAACGUGGCCACGAG